rnacentral:rRNA from 1 species
GACAGAGGGGGCAAGCGUUGCUCGGAAUUACUGGGCGUAAAGGGCGCGUAGGCGGAAUGGCAAGUCGGUCGUGAAAUCCUUCGGCUCAACCGAAGAACGUCGAUCGAAACUGCCGUUCUUGAGGAUUGCAGAGGAGACUGGAAUUCCCGGUGUAGCGGUGAAAUGUGUAGAGAUCGGGAGGAACACCGGUGGCGAAGGCGGGUCUCUGGGCAAUUCCUGACGCUGAGGAGCGAAAGCGUGGGGAGCGAACAGG